rnacentral:rRNA from 1 species
AUUGAACGCUGGCGGCAGGCCUAACACAUGCAAGUCGAGCGGAUGAAGGGAGCUUGCUCCUGGAUUCAGCGGCGGACGGGUGAGUAAUGCCUAGGAAUCUGCCUGGUAGUGGGGGAUAACGUCCGGAAACGGGCGCUAAUACCGCAUACGUCCUUAGGGAGAAAGUGGGGGAUCUUCGGACCUCACGCUAUCAGAUGAGCCUAGGUCGGAUUAGCUAGUUGGUGGGGUAAAGGCCUACCAAGGCGACGAUCCGUAACUGGUCUGAGAGGAUGAUCAGUCACACUGGAACUGAGACACGGUCCAGACUCCUACGGGAGGCAGCAGUGGGGAAUAUUGGACAAUGGGCGAAAGCCUGAUCCAGCCAUGCCGCGUGUGUGAAGAAGGUCUUCGGAUUGUAAAGCACUUUAAGUUGGGAGGAAGGGCAGUAAGUUAAUACAUUGCUGUUUUGACGUUACCAACAGAAUAAGCAACGGCUAACUUCGUG